CUCAGCCUCCCUCUGCCUCUCCUCAUCCGCCCGGUGUCCCGUCCUCAGCUCAUUCCUUCAACCACCAAACAGCCAGCGGGGAUCCUCACUACAGGCUCUCCUGCAAGCUUACAGAAUGCCUUUUGGGGGAGGAAACAAGUGCGGCUGCUGCCAGAAAACCGUCUUCUUCGCCGAGGAGAUGCAGUGCGAGGGGAAGAGCUGGCACAAAUCCUGCUUUCUGUGCAUGGUCUGUAAGAAGAACUUAGACAGCACAACAGUGGCCGUCCAUGUGGAUGAGAUCUACUGCAAAUCGUGCUACGGCAAGAAAUACGGGCCAAAAGGCUACGGCUUCGGAGGCGGAGCCGGAACUCUGAGUAUGGACACGGGAGAGGGACUCGGAAUCAAGCCUGAAGUGCAAGCUCCUCAUUGCCCUACGAACAACCCCAACGCCUCGAAGUUCGCCCAGAAAGCCGGGGGCUCGGACGUGUGUCCUCGAUGCGGGAAGAUGGUGUACGCAGCCGAGAAGGUUGUAGCCGGUGGCAACUCCUGGCAUAAAGGCUGCUUUCGCUGCGCCAAGUGUGGCAAAGGACUCGAGUCCACGACCGUCGCUGACCGAGACGGGGAGAUCUUCUGUAAAGGCUGCUACGCUAAGAACUUCGGCCCCAAAGGCUUUGGCUUCGGUCAGGGUGCAGGAGCUCUGGCUCAUUCCCAGUGAAGCCUGGAAGCCUUCAGCCCACCUGGGACGGACAUCGCUCUGAUGUCCUCACAACUCACAGCUUUUUGGCUGCGGUGUGAUGACAUCAUGGCGUUGCUUUAUGUGGCGUUUGGCUGUGCUCGCUAUUCCGUCUGAUCAUCAUCAAACGGAGCAAGAUGACAGCGGUUGUGGUGAACAACGGAGUCGCAGUGCUCGGCCCCGUCUCUGCCCGCUCCGAGGAGUUGGCACACCGGCCAGAGCGGCCUUGGCAGCUGUUUGUUUGUGUGUUUGUUUGUUUGUUUGUUUGUUGACUGUAAGACUAGAAACCACACUGGGAUCUGUUCCAGAGUUGUCUUUUGUUACAUUCAUAAUACAUGGUAUAUACAGUAUAUAUGCUUUAAAUUUCCUGCUGCAGGUAUUAAAAUACAGUGGACAUGUAGUUUAAUUCCCGUCAGUCCUUCGCCCACCAGGGGGCGAUAGAGAGACCUGAUCUCACACUAAGUGAGUAUUAAAUGCCAAAGUCUAUUUUGGCCUGCCACAGUUUCUUAAUGAAGCGAAAAUAUUGCUCCUCUUUUCAAGGGUCGGGCUUGCUGGGUAUUUUAUGUGAGCAUUUAAAAUAAACUCUACCUUUAACAGCUGUGUGAUCA